rnacentral:rRNA from 1 species
UACGAAGGGGGCUAGCGUUGCUCGGAAUCACUGGGCGUAAAGGGCGCGUAGGCGGCUGAUUUAGUCGAGGGUGAAAGCCCGUGGCUCAACCACGGAAUGGCCUUCGAUACUGGUUGGCUUGAGACCGGAAGAGGUAAGUGGAACUGCGAGUGUAGAGGUGAAAUUCGUAGAUAUUCGCAAGAACACCAGUGGCGAAGGCGGCUUACUGGUCCGGAUCUGACGCUGAGGCGCGAAAGCGUGGGGAGCAAACAGGG